UCUCCCAAACCCUAACAGCAACUCUUCAUUGAAUCAUGCAAUUGCAAACCUCUUUGCUUUGCCAUUAAAGUCACAGUCAUAUGCUCAGAGAUUUAAUGGCUUUUGUUGAGGGGACCAUAUCUCUCACUUUCUUGCCCUCACAUCCAUUUCUUGGAUUCAACUCCUCCACUCUUAUAUACACAUAUAUAAAUAAUAAAGAUAAUAAAUAUGAAAGAUGAGAAAAAAGAGUCUAGAUUUUGAGGGACAAGCAUAUCUUGUCCUUUUCGUUAUAUGUGACCUCACAAUGUUCAGCUAUAUACAAGGACCGAACUUCAAAGU